ensembl:lncRNA
ACACACCCAAUCCCUGACGUUUUUCUGAAUGUGUCUGGCAUGAAUAUUUUCGACACCUGUACAGUAUAUAAAGAGCAGCUGUUCUGGUAAGCUGUAGUAUCUCCAUCGAGGACAACCAAUAUCUGACCUGUUCAUCAUGAUGAAGCUGAUCCUUUCUCUGACUCUCAUCUGGGCACUCUCCAGCACAGCUGGAGCCCUUGUGUGUCAAACUUGCACCAAUACACAGUGUUCAAGCCAGGCGCCUGUGACAUGCACUUCAGAGACGAUGUGUAUAACAGCUAAUAUUCAAGGUAUUCAUUUCUUUACGUCAUCUAUUCUAAUUCAGUGAAAUAUACUGUAUGUAGUGUUGUGAGUCCAACAUUAACAAAGUAACCUUUGAUUUUGUAGCCAAUUCAUCUGGAGUGACAGUGCCACAGAUCGUCAAGGGAUGUGCAUCUUCCUCACUGUGUCCAGCCACAGGCUCUCUGACAUUUUCAGUCAACCUGGGUGCUUCCAGUGCAGUUUCUUCCGCUGAGUGCUGCAACACAGAUAACUGUAACACAGCAACUCUACCUGGUAAAUAUAGACAGUAUAUAAAAUAAAAUGUAUUAACAAAUAGAACACUGGUAUCUUCUAACAUGUUUGAUUUUCAUCAUGAAAUACUUUAAUGUUCUCUUUUCUUCGAGUGAAUGAUUUUGUUCUUUUCUCUUUCAGCUCCUGCGACUCCGACAGAUAACACCCUACAGUGUAAUUCUUGUACCAACCAACUAUGCAACACUCCGGUGACAUGCAGGGGAGACGAGAACCAAUGCUUUCAAGCGAGUGUGACAAAUUCAGGCACCACUUCUCCAGCCUUUGGCUGUACAUCUAUAAACGUAUGUGCAGCCGCUCCAGCCCUGGGUAGUCUACCUUUCAUGGAAAGUGUUGGGACUCUCAACAGUGGACCAACCUGUUGUGGGACCAAUUUGUGUAAUACUAUCACGGCAACAACAACAACUCCUGCCCCCACAACAACAACAACUCCUGCCCCAACAACCACAACAACUCCUGCCCCUACAACCACAACGACUGCUGCCCCGACAACCACAACGACUGCUGCCCCGACGACUACUGCCAGUGAUGCCUGCUGUAUCAGAUUAGGUAUGAUCCAUCUUCUCCUUGGACUCCUCAUCUUUACCCUGUGUUAGAACACAGGGUUACAGGGAUGCUCCACCUAUGACGCCACCAGGACUCUGAAAUGACGAAGCCUGGAACUGGGUAACUGCGUGAUGCUGUGUUUAGAUGGCAGUUGGCAAACAUAGUGGAGAAAAUGUCCAUCUCCUUUGUCCCGGUCCACUGGUAAACUAUUUUACGUCACAGAAUGCAUCUUACAAGAGACGAUCUAAAAUUAGCCUUGUGGUGAAUAAUGACGAUGAUUUCUCAGCACUGAGCAGUUACCUGAAGUGAAGCACAUGUCUCAACAAUGGUGUAACAAGUUUUCUGUAAUUCAACAAUGAAUUUAACUGCAAUGUAUUUGGUUGUUUUCAAAUAGAAUGUAUUCACAUUUAUUUAUUUAUCUUUAAUGAUAGUCUAUUUAAAUAUUCUCGUUAAUUAUGUACAUCUUUUGCAUUGUAUUCUUUGAUUGAUCACUUCCCUUUAAGUGAUAAAUCCUAGGGCAGUAUUUUAAUGGAAUGUAUUAAGGUCUACUGUAAUGUUUAUUCUAACCUGUUUUAAUAAAG